rnacentral:rRNA from 1 species
AGUGAACGCUGGCGGCAGGCCUAACACAUGCAAGUCGAACGGCAGCGGGUCAGUAGCAAUACUGAUGCCGGCGAGUGGCGGACGGGUGAGGAAUACAUCGGAAUCUACCUUGUCGUGGGGGAUAACGUAGGGAAACUUACGCUAAUACCGCAUACGAACUAUGGUUGAAAGCGGCGGACCGCAAGGCGUCGCGCGAUUGGAUGAGCCGAUGUCCGAUUAGCUAGUUGGCGGGUAAAGCCCACCAAGGCGACGAUCGGUAGCUGGUCUGAGAGGAUGAUCAGCCACACUGGAACUGAGACACGGUCCAGACUCCUACGGAGGCAGCAGUGGGGAAUAUUGGACAAUGGCGCAAGCCUGAUCCAGCCAUACCGCGUGUGUGAAGAAGGCCUCGGUGUAAG